AUCGCAAUACUCAGAACCUACAUGAAUAUGGUUACUGUAUAAUUCAUCCUUUUGACCCCUGUGUUUAGGAUGACUCAGAGUUAAACUGUCAACCCUGAUCAGAUCAUCCGAAUCAUGCUCAACUCAAACAGUCCUGUGACUCCUCACAAGGACUACCCUGGCCAAGGUUUUGCUAAAUUGAAACACGACUGUACACAGCUCCUAAACUGGAGUGAUCAAUCCCAUCAUGACACAUGC
rnacentral:lncRNA from 1 species